CGGUUACCACGGAGUGAUUCAUGACUGGGGUGAAGUCGUAACAAGGUAGCCCUAGGGGAACCUGGGGCUGGAUCACCUCCUUAAU
rnacentral:rRNA from 1 species